UCCAUCUGGACAAAUAUUUGAUAGGUAAGUCUUCAUGAAUGAAACAUGUUUACUUUAACUGUUAAAAUUUGAAAAUAUUAUUGAUGGUCUAUUGUUGAUACUUUUAUAUGCUUUUAAAUUUGAAUUUUAGUAUGUAGUCAUACAUACGAUCUACAAGCAGAAAAUCUGCUUUUGAAAAUAAGGACUUAAUUUAAAUAUAUGUUAUCAUUAAUUGCUUCAUUGGCGACAGAUGAUUUUGCCUAUGUGAAUUAAUGAUUUUCGAUGUUAUAUUGUUGGAUGGUGGAACAAGUUGGUGAUGAAAAAAGUCUAGUUUAGAGUCCAGUAUGAGAGCAGGAAGCAACCAUGAUAUCUUUUUUUUUAUUUUUUCCUUAUAAGUUAUGAGGUAUUGAGGAAAAUAUUUUUUAUUAUUUCAUUUGUUUGUUUUGUUUUGUUUUGUUUUGAUAUUUUGUUAUUGGAGUUGAUUGUUAUGAUAAUUAUUGAAAAUUAAAUAAAAUUUUGAGAAGAAGAAAUUUAUUUCCAGUUUUUUCUCUUUCAG
rnacentral:misc_RNA from 1 species